UCAAGUGACUAAGUGCAUGUGGCGGAUGCCUUGGCGAUCACAGGCGAAGAAAGACGCGGCAGCCUGCGAAAAGCUGCGGGGAGCUGGCAAACGAGCUUUGAUCCGCAGAUAUCUGAAUGGGGGAACCCACACCGCAAGGUGUAUCCGUGACUGAAUACAUAGGUUACGGAGGCGAACGAGGAGAACUGAAACAUCUAAGUAUCCUCAGGAAAAGAAAUCAACCGAGAUUCCGGCAGUAGCGGCGAGCGAACCCGGAGGAGCCUAGCUUUUGAUAGUACGAACUUUAGCCGAAAGGUCCUGGAAAGGCCUGCUAUAGUGGGUGAUAGCCCCGUAGGCGAAAGAGUUCGUAUGGUACUAAGGAAGCGAGAAGUAGAGCGGGACACGUGGAAUCCUGUUCGAAGAUGGGGGGACCAUCCUCCAAGGCUAAAUACUCGUGAUCGACCGAUAGUGAACCAGUACCGUGAGGGAAAGGCGAAAAGAACCCCGGGAGGGGAGUGAAAUAGAACCUGAAACCGCAUGCAUACAAACAGUAGGAGCCUCGUCAGAGGUGACUGCGUACCUUUUGCAUAAUGGGUCAGCGACUUACAUUCUGUGGCGAGCUUAACCGAAUAGGGGAGGCGCAGCGAAAGCGAGUUCGAAAUGAGCGUCCAGUCGCAGGGUGUAGACCCGAAACCAGAUGAGCUAUCCAUGGCCAGGUUGAAGGUGUGGUAACACACACUGGAGGACCGAACCGACUAGUGUUGCAAAAUUAGCGGAUGAGCUGUGGAUAGGGGUGAAAGGCCAAACAAAUCUGGAGAUAGCUGGUUCUCCCCGAAAACUAUUGAGGUAGUGCCUCGUGUGUCGCUCCAGGGGGUAGAGCACUGUUUUGGCUAGGGGGACAUGGAGUCUUACCAAACCAAGGCAAACUCCGAAUACCUGGAAGCGUGAGCACGGGAGACAGAGCACCGGGUGCUAACGUCCGGACUCAAAAGGGAAACAACCCAGACCGCCGGCUAAGGUCCCCAAUAACAGCUAAGUGGAAAACGAAGUGGAAAGGCCGUGACAACCAGGAAGUUGGCUUAGAAGCAGCCAUCCUUCAAAGAAAGCGUAAUAGCUCACUGGUCGAGUCCUUCUGCGCGGAAGAUGUAACGGGGCUAAGCUGUUAACCGAAGCCGCGGAUGCGCUGAUUAUUCAGUGCGUGGUAGGGGAGCGUUCUGUAAGUCUGCGAAGGCGGUUCGAGAGGACUGCUGGAGAUAUCAGAAGUGCGAAUGCUGACAUGAGUAACGUUAAAGCAGGUGAAAAGCCUGCUCGCCGUAAGCCCAAGGAUUCCUGCUCUACGUUCAUCGGAGCAGGGUGAGUCGGCUCCUAAGGUCAGGCCGAAAGGCGUAGCCGAUGGGAAUCAGGUUAAUAUUCCUGAACCUGCGUCAGAUGCGAUGGGGGGACGGAGCAUGAAAGAUCAUCCGGGUGUUGGAUGUCCCGGUUGACGAGCGUAGGAGGUCUGCAGGCAAAUCCGCAGACGCAUCUCCAAGGCGAAGUCACGUGCCGCCACGGCGGCGAAGUGAUCGGAAGUGCUUCCAAGAAAAGCCUCUAAGCACCAGUCUGACGCGGACCGUACCGCAAACCGACACUGGUGGGCGAGCUGAAUAUGCUCAGGCGCUUGAGAGAACUCGGGAGAAGGAACUCGGCAAAUUGACACCGUAACUUCGGAAGAAGGUGUGCCGUAGUACCGUGAGAGGAGAGACACCUUGAGCGGGAAUCGGUCUCAGAGAAUAGGUGGCUGCGACUGUUUAUUAAAAACACAGCACUCUGCAAAGUCGAAAGACGACGUAUAGGGUGUGAUGCCUGCCCGGUGCUGGAAGAUUAAUUGAUGGGGUGAGAGCCCUUGAUCGAAGUCCCAGUAAACGGCGGCCGUAACUAUAACGGUCCUAAGGUAGCGAAAUUCCUUGUC
rnacentral:rRNA from 1 species